CGAAUUUGUAUAAUGAGAAGCGGAAUUCAGUAAGCGUUGGAUUGUUCACCCACUAAUAGGGAACAAGACAUGGGGUUUAGACUGUCGUGAGACAAGUU
rnacentral:ncRNA from 1 species